GAACGCCUCGGGACGCAGCAGUGGGGAAUAUUGGGCAAUGGGCGCAAGCCUGACCCAGCAACGCCGCGUGAAGGAAGAAGGCCCUCGGGUUGUAAACUUCUUUUAUCAAGGACGAAACAAAUGACGGUACUUGAUGAAUAAGCCACGGCUAACUACGUGCCAGCAGCCGCGGUAAUACGUAGGUGGCAAGCGUUAUCCGGAUUUACUGGGUGUAAUGAGCGUGUAGGCGGGGCUGCAAGUCAGAUGUGAAAA
rnacentral:rRNA from 1 species